AUUCCACUGUUUCGUUUAUCUCAGCCAGCAUCAGUAGUAUCGUUGGUGUGUGUCGUUGCGUGUUGACGUGAACGUUUGGUCGUGAUGCUGGUUACAAGGGAACAGGAACAAAA